AGUUAAAAAGUACGUGAAACCGUUAAAAGGGAAACGAAUGGGGUUAGCAAUGCGUCGUGCGAGAUUCAGCCGGUGGGUCGGGCCAGGCGGGCGGUUGGCGGAUCUGAAUGGACCGCUGCCGUUCGGGUUGGUUUCCCGACCGUCGCACUUCUCGCAGGCGCGCGCCAACGUCGGUUAGGGCUGGGUUUCAAAGGCGGUGGAAAGGUAGGUUUGGACUCUCGGGCCCGAACUGUUACAGUCCUCCGUUUGUCAUGGCCCGGACCUGACCGAGGAGCUUGCGGUGCAUGCCGUUCGGCUAGGGUCCCGUCUUCCCGGUCGGUCGUCGAAUGCGGUGGACUGCGUGCAGUGCGCCGCGACUGCUGCCGGUCGCGAGGGCGGUGAUUUCGUACUAUGCACCCACGACGUUGGCGGUCAUAUGGCCUCAUCCGACCCGUCUUGAAACACGGACCAAGGAGUCUAACAUGUGUGCGAGUCUUUGAGUGAUCGAAACUCCGAGGCGUAAUGAAAGUGAAGGCGACUUCGGUCGCUGAGGUGAGAGCCUUUUACAAAAAAAAGGCGCAUCAUUGACCGACCUAUUCUACUCUUAGAAAGGUUUGAGUAAGAGCGCAUCUGUUGGGACCCGAAAGAUGGUGAACUAUGCCUGAAUAGGGUGAAGCCAGAGGAAACUCUGGUGGAGGCUCGUAGCGAUUCUGACGUGCAAAUCGAUCGUCAAAUUUGGGUAUAGGGGCGAAAGACUAAUCGAACUGUCUAGUAGCUGGUUCCCUCCGAAGUUUCCCUCAGGAUAGCUGGAACUUACGGCAGUUUUAUCANGUAAAGCGAAUGAUUAGAGGUCUUAGGGUUAAAACAACCUUAACCUAUUCUCAAACUUUAAAUUGGUAAGAAGUCCGACUUGCUUAAUUGAAGCCGGACAGUG
rnacentral:ncRNA from 1 species